GUAGUCUGACAGAACACCGCACCUGGUAUAUCGAUGUAUUUUUGAAAAGCAAAUUAAGUUUUUCCAACUCUAAACCCAGUGCCCAAGUAAAUUAGGUUAUUAAAUUAAAACUAGUGUAAUGGCUACAAACACUAUAGUAUUUAUGGUAGUCCUGUUUGGUAGGGUGAGUACAGUAGUUUCUAGCCUACGUGUCCUUUAUGAAUGGGAUGGCAUUAGCUUUGGAGUAAUGGCAGGUGCAUGCUGAUUGCCAGAUGGGUGGUGGUGAUUUCUUGCUUGGAGACUGCAAUGAUGGUUUGUGCCAGCUUGGGAAAACAGUUGUCGUAGCUGUGGUUAGGUAUGUGACAAUGUUGGAUGUAAUACUUUUUAAAAGUGUGAUAUUGUGUAUAAUCAUGUGCAUUUAAAUGUUUUGUGCAGAUGGCAAUGAUGGUUUGUGCCAGAGUUGGAAAACUCUUGUCUAGCUGGUACUAGUUGGAGGGACCAAAAAGCAUCCUCACUGAUCAAGGAAAGGAAUUUGUGAAUUCGAUAAAUGCAGAUGUAUGUAAAAUACUGGGCAUUGAGAGGAGCUUGUGUGCCCCUUAUCAUCCCCAAACCAAUGGGUUUGUGGAAAAAAUGAACGGAACAGUGCAGAGGGCCCAGGAAAAAUGGUGAAGAGCAAACCAAACCAAUGGAACCAGUACUUGGAUGCCGUGAUGUUUGGCCUGAGAACAAAAAAGCAAAUAACAACCAAAUACUUACCUUUUUGUCUCAUGUUCGGCAGAGAGGCCCGCUAUCCUUCUGAAAUACCAGAGCAAUACCAGGUUGACAACAGCACCGAAAAAAAAAAUAUUACAAAAGAAGAAGUAUUCAUUAAACAACAUGAAGAAAUCUUAAAAGUUGUCAAUCAAAACAAUAAGGCCUCUCAAGAGAGAAUCAAAGAGAGACUUGUAAAAAAGAAGGGCAGAAUAGAUACCAUUGGGGAUCCGGUUUGGAGAAAAAACAUACGUGAGGAACAACGGAAAGGGGGCUAACUUGAUCCGGAGUGUUUAGGCCCUUUUACUGUAACAAAAAUUAAAGGAAAAUCUGUGGAUCUGGUGGAUACCAAUGGCAAAGCACUGCCAAAGAUGAACAUCGACCACCUAAAACCAUACAUAGAGGAGAUGCCCAGAAUACCCCACAAAUUAAAACCGUCAAGACAGAAGCAGAAAAAUACACCGGAUGCCACCACCAUAAACACCACAGAACAAGGCAGCCCCCAAAUCGAAGAUACUUUGUCCAGACAAGACAGCCCCAGAGAUUUUCAGCACAUCACUGUGG